AGAGCGAACGCUGGCGGCAGGCUUAACACAUGCAAGUCGAACGCUCGUAGCAAUACGGGAGUGGCAGACGGGUGAGUAACGCGUGGGAACAUACCCUCCGGUUCGGAAUAGCUCAGGGAAACUUGGAUUAAUACCGGAUACGGCUGUGAGGCGAAAGAUUUAUCGCCGGAGGAUUGGCCCGCGUUCGAUUAGCUUGUUGGUGAGGUAACGGCUCACCAAGGCGAUGAUCGAUAGCUGGUCUGAGAGGAUGAUCAGCCACAUUGGGACUGAGACACGGCCCAAACUCCUACGGGAGGCAGCAGUGGGGAAUAUUGGACAAUGGGCGCAAGCCUGAUCCAGCCAUGCCGCGUGAGUGAUGACGGCCUUAGGGUUGUAAAGCUCUUUCGCUCGGGACGAUAAUGACGGUACCGAGAUAAGAAGCCCCGGCUAACUUCGUGCCAGCAGCCGC
rnacentral:rRNA from 1 species